CAUAUCCCAUUGAAACACUGGUUUUCAUAUGAUCACCAAAGUUAAGCAACAUCAAACCUGGUCAGUAACUAGAUGGGUGACUGCUUGGGAAUACCAGAUGCUGUAAG